rnacentral:hammerhead_ribozyme from 1 species
AUCCAGGCGACCAGUCCCAAAUAGAACGAAACACGGGUCAAACUGGAU